rnacentral:rRNA from 1 species
CGCUCGACAUCAGAGUUUGAUCCUGGCUCAGGAUGAACGCUAGCGAUAGGCUUAACACAUGCAAGUCGAGGGGCAUCGAGUAGAUAGCUUGCUAUUUAUGUUCGGCGACCGGCGCACGGGUGCGUAACGCGUAUGUAAUCUACCUAUCAGACGGGGAUAACCCGGUGAAAGCCGGCCUAAUACCCGAUAUACUUAUUUUUCGCAUGGGGGAUAAAGGAAAGAAAUUCGCUGAUAGAUGGGCAUGCGUUCCAUUAGCUGGUUGGUGAGGUAACGGCCCACCAAGGCAAUGAUGGGUAGCCGGCCUGAGAGGGUGAACGGCCACAAGGGGACUGAGACACGGCCCUU